GCUGUGAUCGUAUAGUGGUUAGUACUCUGCGUUGUGGCCACAGCAACCUCGGUUCGAAUCCAGGUCACGGCA
rnacentral:tRNA from 1 species